UGAGGUUUUUUUCUUCACUUUAAAGUGAACACAUUAAAGCUAGAUUAGGACAACAGGCGACUUAGGACUAAGUCUAGUUUGGACAAAAUGGCUUGAGGAAAAAAAUCAUAGUAGGUUGUUAAAGGGACACUGUUAAAUCAUAACUGCUAUGAUGCAGAUGCAGGUAAACUGCUGUAAAUCUGCAUAUUGGUAUCUGAUAACACAGUUAGCACACCUGCAGAGCGGUUUGAUUUGACCCUGCCGCCCCAUGGCACUGUUCCAAUACAGAUAAAAUGCCCUUUAGAUGUAGCCUUGAGCUGAGAGGAAGUGCAGAAGGGAGUCGUACGAGACUUGAUAUUGAGCGACGCUUGCAGUAUAGUUAAAUCUUCUGUUUACUUCAAUUCUCAUUAUAGCAAUUGGGUUAUUUAAUUAUUUCUUUAAUAAAUAUAUGAGAAUAUUUGAGGUGUUUUCAUUACAUACCUACAGAGUAUGUAUUCUAUAGAUUUUUGUUGUCUUUUUUUCUCCUGCACUAUGGUGUUGUAGCAUAGCGGCCUCCACUUCCAAUCAAUGCAUCCUUGUAAUAAAUAAGGCAUCUUUUCAGUAUAAGAGCUGAAGGCAGGUACAAUGCACAUGCAAACAAUCUGGUUUAUAGACUGAUGCUUGUUUUGUUGUUGUUGUUGUUGUUGUUGUUGUUUUUUACACAAAAGGAAAAACCCUCACCUUAAACAUACACACGAGCUGUUUUAAUGAAGUAUUUGUGCCCAUGCAAAAGCUCACAGCAGUCUGAAUCAUGAAUAAGCUCCUGCACAAAAUGAUUCAGCUACGAAAUGUUCACUGCAGUUGAAUGUCAACACGUGAAACUGUUUCCUGAUGUGCUGGAGGGGUAAAGAAUGGUCCUUGCUGUAGAGGGAGCUCUCUCGCUGUCUUUUUGUCAUAUCUUGCUCUCCACUGAUUAAUGUUUUGAAUAUUAACCUUGUCAGUGUUGUUUGUCUGUCAUUGAUGAAACACUUUACCUCAUUAUUAAAAAUGAAGGAGGUGUCGUGUCAUGUUUAUGUAGUGAGAUAGAAAGGAGAGAUAAGGGAAAGUUCCCAGCACUUCCUGGCCUGUAUUUAUAUGUUCAGACUUGUGUGUGUGUGUGUGUGUGUGUGUGUGUGUGUGUGUCUGUCUUUUUAACAGUGUAUAGAUCUCUCAUGCAUGGUAUUAUGCUAGGGGGUUUCUCCAAUUCCAUACUGAGCCUGCCACCCUUACCUGUGGUUUUUAUACACACACACACACACACUUCACUCACUCUACCCAUCCGAGACAUCACUCCAAGCUAAGGGUGGAGGAAUGCAGUCAUCGGCGCCAUCCUAGCAUUCUCACUAAGUCUAAUCCUUGACAUCACCUUUGUUUAUCAGUUUGUUUUAGUUACAUUUACACACAAGAGGAAGACGUUUGUCAGGUUUUCAACCGUGUGUGUCCUUACCUCACACACAGGUGCUUACUCAUAUACACACACACUCUCAUGCACACUCCCUUUUACCGCUUCUAACAGAACAAAUUCAAGCUCAGUGCUUUCUUCAUGGACAAGCAUCCAAAUGCCCAGCUGUGGAAGUGGAUUCUGGGAAAGCACACACCCUUCACUUGCUUCAUGUGGAUUCUUGCGGUGAGGAGGAUGUAUGUUUUCUUGAGGUCAUGGAUGGAUUAUACAUACAGGAGGGAGAGAAGUGCUCACGAAUGUGCUGUGAGGAAAAUCGGACAGGUACACUGUUGAACGUACAUGAAGUCACAGGGAAUCACAUGCUUCAUCUUGUUUUACUUUUUCACCACCUGCUUGGGAUCUGUGCAAGACAGACAGCAUCUGAUGGGAUUACCAAAAAAAAAAUUUUUCUCUAUGACGACAUGUUCACAAAACUUUUUUUUUGCCCUUCUGAGAAGCUGGACUGUGAGCCAAUGAACUCGAAUCAUACUUUGUUCUUCAGUAAAUUAUAUUUCAGUAAAUUUGCAUGGGAUUAAAAAAAAAGGACAUGGGCUUAAAAAUGUGCUUGUCCACUUGCUAUUUGCUUUAAUUGUUUGACUCAGCUCAUUCUCACUUUCUCACUGUUUUUACUGGAUACUGAUGUUCACAUAUGCUUGUUUUCAUUCAAAAGCACAAAUGUACAAAAUAAAAGCGCUACAAUACUUGCCAAGACA